GNGAACGCUGGCGGCGUGCUUAACACAUGCAAGUCGAGCGAGAAGUUAACUACCUCAUCUUCGGAUGAUUUAGUUAAUGGACAGCGGCGGACGGGUGAGUAACGCGUGGGUAACCUGCCCUACACUGGGGGACAACAGUUGGAAACGACUGCUAAUACCGCAUAAGACCUCAGCAUCUCAUGAUACAGUGGUAAAAACUCCGGUGGUGUAGGAUGGACCCGCGUCUGAUUAGCUAGUUGGUGAGGUAGAGGCUCACCAAGGCGACGAUCAGUAGCCGGCCUGAGAGGGUGGACGGCCACAUUGGGACUGAGACACGGCCCAAACUCCUACGGGAGGCAGCAGUGGGGAAUAUUGCACAAUGGGGGAAACCCUGAUGCAGCGACGCCGCGUGAAGGAUGAAGGUUUUCGGAUCGUAAACUUCUAUCAGCAGGGAAGAAAGUGACGGUACCUGACUAAGAAGCCCCGGCUAACUACGUGCCAGCAGCCGCGGUAAU
rnacentral:rRNA from 1 species